AUUGAACGCUGGCGGAAUGCUUUACACAUGCAAGUCGAACGGCAGCACGGGGGCAACCCUGGUGGCGAGUGGCGAACGGGUGAGUAAUACAUCGGAACGUGCCCAGUCGUGGGGGAUAACGUAGCGAAAGCUACGCUAAUACCGCAUACGAACUGAGGUUGAAAGCGGGGGAUCGCAAGACCUCGCGCGAUUGGAGCGGCCGAUGGCAGAUUAGGUAGUUGGUGGGGUAAAGGCCUACCAAGCCGACGAUCUGUAGCUGGUCUGAGAGGACGACCAGCCACACUGGGACUGAGACACGGCCCAGACUCCUACGGGAGGCAGCAGUGGGGAAUUUUGGACAAUGGGCGCAAGCCUGAUCCAGCCAUUCCGCGUGCAGGAUGAAGGCCCUCGGGUUGUAAACUGCUUUUGUACGGAACGAAAAGGCCCUCUCUAAUACAGGGGGCUGAUGACGGUACCGUAAGAAUAAGCACCGGCUAACUACGUGCCAGCAGCCGCCGUAACAC
rnacentral:rRNA from 1 species